UACAGAGGUCUCAAGCGUUGUUCGGAUUCAUUGGGCGUAAAGGGUGCGUAGGCGGCGCGGUAAGUCGGGUGUGAAAUCUCGGAGCUUAACUUGGGAAUUGCGCUCGAAACUACGUGGCUGGAGUGUGGCAGAGGAAGGUGGAAUUCCAGGUGUAGCGGUGAAAUGCGUAGAGAUCUGGAGGAACACCGAUGGCGAAGGCAGCCUUCUGGGCCAACACUGACGCUCAUGCACGAAAGCGUGGGGGAGCAAACAGG
rnacentral:rRNA from 1 species